rnacentral:rRNA from 1 species
GUGUCAGCCGCCGCGGUAAUACGUAGGGUGCAAGCGUUGUCCGGAAUUAUUGGGCGUAAAGAGCUCGUAGGCGGUUCGUCGCGUCGGCUGUGAAAUCCCGAGGCUCAACCUCGGGCCUGCAGUCGAUACGGGCGGACUUGAGUUCGGCAGGGGAGACUGGAAUUCCUGGUGUAGCGGUGAAAUGCGCAGAUAUCAGGAGGAACACCGGUGGCGAAGGCGGGUCUCUGGGCCGAAACUGACGCUGAGGAGCGAAAGCGUGGGGAGCGAACAGGAUUAGAUACCCUGGUAGUCCACGCCGUAAACGUUGGGCGCUAGGUGUGGGGCUCAUUCCACGAGUUCCGUGCCGCAGCUAACGCAUUAAGCGCCCCGCCUGGGGAGUACGGCCGCAAGGCUAAAACUUAAAGGAAUUGACGGGG